AUGGAAAAUAGAAAUACUUUUUCUUGGGUAAAGGAACAGAUAACUCGAUCGAUUUCUGUAGCGAUCAUGAUAUACGUAAUAACUCGGACAUCUAUUUCAAAUGCAUAUCCCAUUUUUGCGCAGCAGGGUUAUGAAAACCCACGAGAAGCAACUGGACGAAUUGUAUGUGCCAAUUGCCAUUUAGCUAGCAAGCCCGUCGAUAUUGAAGUUCCCCAAGCUGUGCUUCCCGAUACUGUAUUUGAAGCAGUUCUUCGAAUUCCUUAUGAUAUGCAAUUGAAACAAGUUCUUGCUAAUGGAAAA
rnacentral:rRNA from 1 species